UAUUUUGUGAACGACGGAUUUCGGAGCUUCAAUUAAGACAGUACCGUAGCUUAUUCACGGCGACUGUACCACUCCGAUUGCGCUUCAGCGACGUCGUUUUAGAGGGAGUCAACGUCUCUCAAAUGAUUCAAAAGAGAGAAGACACUUGAAGAAAAAGAAACGAAAA